UACGUAGGGGGCAAGCGUUGUCCGGAAUUAUUGGGCGUAAAGAGCGUGUAGGCGGCCAGAUAAGUCCGCUGUGAAAUCUCGAGGCUCAACUUCGAGCUGUCGGUGGAAACUAUCUGGCUAGAGUCCGGAAGAGGAGAAUGGAAUUCCUGGUGUAGCGGUGAAAUGCGCAGAUAUCAGGAGGAACACCAAUGGCGAAGGCAGCUCGCUGGGACGGUACUGACGCUGAGGCGCGAAAGCGUGGGGAGCGAACAGG
rnacentral:rRNA from 1 species